GAUGUUCCUCAACAAAGUGAUGGUACUUCAUGUGGCAUUAUGACAGUCAAAUAUAUUGAGUACCUUAGUGCCGGCAUUCCUUUACAUACCAUUGACCCAUCGAAGUUUGGCUACUACCGAUUGAAGCUUGCAAUCGAGGCUUUCAGGGGGGAGGCCUAUGUAUGAGGUGGUCCUUCGAGCUUCAUACCCAUAUUGACAUCUCAGAUUCUGUA